rnacentral:miRNA from 1 species
GGUUGGCCAAAAAGUUCGUUCGGGUUUUUCUGUACGAUCUUACAGCAAAACCCAAACGAACUUUUUGGCCAAUGCAA